rnacentral:rRNA from 1 species
GCCUAACACAUGCAAAGUCGAACGGAGUUAUGUCACGAAGUCUCGGAGCGGACGACAUAGCUUAGUGGCGGACGGGUGAGUAACGCGUGAGCAACCUGCCUUUCAGAGGGGGACAACGGUUGGAAACGACCGCUAAUACCGCAUGAAAUGACUGGAUCGCAUGAUCCGGUCAUCAAAGAUUUUAUCGCUGAAAGAUGGGCUCGCGUCUGAUUAGAUAGUUGUGGGUAACGGCCCACCAAGUCGACGAUCAGUAGCCCGGACUGAGAGGUUGAACGGCCACAUUGGGACUGAGAUACGGCCCAGACUCCUACGGGAGGCAGCAGUGGGGAAUAUUGGGCAAUGGGGGGCAACCCUGACCCAGCAACGCCGCGUGAAGGAAGAAGGCUUUCGGGUUGUAAACUUCUUUUACCGAGGACGAAGAACGUGACGGUACUCGGAGAAAAAGCCACGGCUAACUACGUGCCAGCAGCUGC